rnacentral:pre_miRNA from 1 species
CAUGCACCAGUGGGGUCCCUCGGCCUGGCCUGCACCCUCUCGCAAUCCAGGAGCCCUUGGGGGAUGUCAGUGAGCCAGUUUUGGCCUGAUCCUGCAGGCCAGGCUGAGGGACCCCACUAGUGCAUG